rnacentral:lncRNA from 1 species
AUACAAGUUUCUUAUGAAAAUAAUCUACGGUGGCGUGAUACGCCAUUAGCUAGUUCAUUCCUAGGAUUACAUCAAAGUCCCCCGUGUUAAUCUCUAUUAGGUCCACACUCAAUUUUCUAUCUGCUAUAUCUAUAACAUAGGCUCUAUAUAUAACAUCCCCCCAGUAGUGUCCUACUCCCAGGAAUAGACACAAACAUCACAGAUUUAAGUCUUUCAGGUAAUACAUUCAAGUUUGUUAUAAAGGCAUGUGAAACAAAUAAAUAUGAGGCACCAAUAUCAAUCAAAACAUGUGCAAGAUGAUUACAGAUAGUGUACGUACCGUGUAUCACGUCUAUGUUGACUUCUGCAUCUUGCUGAGUGAGGUUGUAAGCCUUGCCCUAGAUAGGAGGUCUGGCCUGGUUCUGAUUUCUCAGGAACUCUC